AUGGCUUUCUGGAAAAGUGGCAUUCUGAUCAUAAUUAUAUACAUCAAGGGAUGUGAUUCUCAGGAUAAAGUUGAUCAGCACACAAAGACUCAAUCUGCUUUUGAAGGUGAUACUGUAACCAUUGACUGCACAUAUCAGACUUCUUAUACAACACCGACUCUAUUCUGGUACCAGCAGAAAGUCAACGGAGUCCCCAAACACAUGCUUAAUAAAAUCUCUACAUCUGGACACACUGAGGAAGAAUUUAAAGAGAGAUUUCACGCAACUCUCAGCAAAACUUCAGUUCCUCUGACAAUCAAGGAUCUACGAGUGUCAGACUCUGCUGUGUAUUACUGUGCUCUGAGGCCCACAGCUGUGAUUGUGCUGAGAGUGUUGAUCAGAAUACAAGAGUUGAAACUUCUGUUGAAGAAGGAUCUGUGA